GACGUAGGGGGCAAGCGUUGUCCGGAUUUAUUGGGCGUAAAGAGCGUGUAGGCGGCCAUACAGGUCAGCUGUGAAAACUCGAGGCUCAACCUCGAGACGUCGGUUGAAACCGUAUGGCUAGAGUCCGGAAGAGGAGAGUGGAAUUCCCGGUGUAGCGGUGAAAUGCGCAGAUAUCGGGAAGAACACCCGUGGCGAAGGCGGCUCUCUGGGCCGAUACUGACGCUGAGGAGCGAAAGCAUGGGUAGCGAACAGG
rnacentral:rRNA from 1 species